AUUGAACGCUGGCGGCAUGCUUUACACAUGCAAGUCGAACGGUAACAGGCCUUCGGGUGCUGACGAGUGGCGAACGGGUGAGUAAUGCAUCGGAACGUGCCCAGAGGUGGGGGAUAACGCAGCGAAAGCUGUGCUAAUACCGCAUGUGAUCUGAGGAUGAAAGCGGGGGACCAGGCAGCAAUGUUUGGCCUCGCGCCUUUGGAGCGGCCGAUGUCAGAUUAGGUAGUUGGUGGGGUAAAGGCCUACCAAGCCGACGAUCUGUAGCUGGUCUGAGAGGACGACCAGCCACACUGGGACCGAGACACGGCCCAGACUCCUACGGGAGGCAGCAGUGGGGAAUUUUGGACAAUGGGCGCAAGCCUGAUCCAGCAAUGCCGCGUGCGGGAAGAAGGCCUUCGGGUUGUAAACCGCUUUUGUACGGAACGAAAAGGCUCUGGCUAAUACCUGGGGCUGAUGACGGUACCGUAAGAAUAAGCACCGGCUAACUACGUG
rnacentral:rRNA from 1 species